rnacentral:rRNA from 1 species
GAUGAACGCUAGCGGCAGGCCUAACACAUGCAAGUCGAGGGGGAGGUUACUUUCGGGUAACUGAGACCGGCGUACGGGUGCGUAACGCGUAUACAAUCUGCCUUUCACUGGGGGAUAGCCCGAAGAAAUUUGGAUUAAUACCCCAUAGUAUAGUAGUGUGGCAUCACACAACUAUUAAAGCUUAGGUGGUGAAAGAUGAGUAUGCGUUCUAUUAGCUAGUUGGAGAGGUAACGGCUCCCCAAGGCGAUGAUAGAUAGGGGUUCUGAGAGGGAUGUCCCCCACACUGGUACUGAGAUACGGACCAGACUCCUACGGGAGGCAGCAGUGAGGAAUAUUGGACAAUGGUCGGAAGACUGAUCCAGCCAUGCCGCGUGCAGGAUGACGGCCUUAUGGGUUGUAAACUGCUUUUGUAAGGGAAGAAUAAGGGCUACGCGUAGUUUGAUGACGGUACCUUACGAAUAAGCAUCGGCUAACUCCGUGCCAGCAGCCGCGGUAAUACGGAGGAUGCGAGCGUUAUCCGGAAUCAUUGGGUUUAAAGGGUCUGUAGGCGGGCUUGUAAGUCAGAGGUGAAAGCGCUCAGCUCAACUGAGCAACUGCCUUUGAAACUGUUGGUCUUGAAUGGUUGUGAAGUAGUUGGAAUGUGUAGUGUAGCGGGUGAAAUGCUUAGAUAUUACACAGAACACCGAUAGCGAAGGCAUAUUACUAACAAUUAAUUGACGCUGAUGGGCGAAAGCGUGGGGAGCGAACAGG